rnacentral:misc_RNA from 1 species
UCUCCGUAGGUGAACCUGCGGAGGGAUCAUUACUGAGUGAGGGCUCACGCCCGACCUCCAACCCUUUGUGAACCAAACUUGUUGCUUCGGGGGCGACCCUGCCUUUCGGCGCGGCGCCCCCGGAGGCUCAUCAAACACUGCAUCUUUGCGUCGGAGUUUAAACAAAUUAAACAAAACUUUCAACAACGGAUCUCUUGGUUCGGGCAUCGAUGAAGAACGCAGC